rnacentral:tRNA from 1 species
GCGUCGUUAGCUCAACUGGAUAGAGUAUUUGGCUUCGAACCAAACGGUUGGGGGUUCGACUCCCUCACGACGCACCA